GGAUGGGUGGCCGAGUGGUCGAAGGCGCACGCCUGGAAAGUGUGUAGGCGGUGACGAGCCGUCUCGUGGGUUCGAAUCCCACCCCAUCCGCCA
rnacentral:tRNA from 1 species